ensembl:lncRNA PCBP1-AS1 PCBP1 antisense RNA 1
GCGGCCGCCAUGUUUCCUGAACACAAAAUGGCGACACGUGGUUAGCAUUCGUCGCCAACGAGAAAUUGGGGUCGGCCCGAAAGCUCUAGAAUGCACCCCUCUUCCUCCCCGGGGCCUUCCACCUCCGCGAGUUUUAUGACUUAAAAAAGCCCACAGGCUGGUCUGAAGAGGAAGACAAACAUAAAGAUGAAGUGCUUAAUUCAAGGUCACACAAUGUCGGGGAUGGACCUCCAGAUUUCCUUACUGGUGAGACGUGGUCUUGUAACACAGUGGUUAAGAAUGUGACUUUGGAGCCAGCCUGCUAGGGGCUGAAUUCUGACUCAGCCAUUUACUAACUGUGUGACCUUAGGGAGGAGGACCUGGUUGAUAGAAGAAUUUAUCUCGUAGUCUUAACAUCCACUGUAAUUCCAAACUUUGAGGACGAUAGAGAUCAGUGGGCUUUGACUGCCCAGCAUGCAGUCUCCAUUCUUAGACUCUUCUGCAGAACCCCAUGUUGACCCCUGCUUUGAGGUGGCAGAGUUAACACUACUCUUCGUUAUAAGCUCUCGUCUGGGGCAACUCAGAAGAACCCAGAGACAGACUCCCAGACUCGGCCAGAGGCUGAUGCCAACUCCUUCCAGCUCUCACGGGGACCAGAUGUGCAGAGGUAAUGAAUACCAGGGAAUCA